GCCACCAAACACUUCUCACAAAGGUCCACCUGACUCACACUGGUGAGCAGCAUAUAGGAAAAAGCCAGUUGAGGCUCUGACUAAAGGUGACCUGAUAGUCCACCUCCCAUUCCUUUGACAUCUGAUCAAGUGGAUGGACUUGCCUUUGUGUUAUUAGGAAAGUCUGAUGGAUGCAGAGAGACAGACUUUUAACAUUUCUGUGGACUUUUCUGAAAUACUUAGAAGUAUAAUUUCUGGCCCAGCCCCAACUGGAAUCUUGUACCGAAUGAGGAGAGGAUGGCUGCUUAACCUCCUUGAAUGGCUUUAAGGGCACUGCUCUUUGGUUUUCUAAGCAGCUUCAGGAGAGAGUGAGUCUCCCCUGUCAUAACUUUGGCUUAGUUUCAUCAGCUGCAUCUAGUUGUAGACGUUUUGUUAAAAUAGAUAUUUUGCUUUAAAUAUUGCAGCUUUCCAUAAUGCAGUAUUCUAAGUGUACUUUAAGACUGUGACUUACUGACACUUGUUGUAUCUAUUGUAGAAAGGUAUUAUACCAGCAGACACUCACUCUGGCAGAGUAGUGAACCUUACUAAACAUAUUUGACUUCUGAAUAAAUUAAACUAAAUCCAAACUUUAAAAAAUUUCCUAAAAGUCACAGGGCAUUAAAGACCACCACAUCUAUGCCAGAGAUUUACUGUUAUUAGCUGGAAAGACCCAGUUCUAACAGCAAAUAACAGUCUGCUUCAUCAUACCUCAUUGCUUCGAAGCACAUCCCUCCUGAGCUAACGUGGAGGGGAGGGGAGCGCUGUGCAGUCCCAGUUCCCACGCUGAGGGCACACGAAUUCCUUUUGUUAUGAGUGCUUACUUCUCACUGGUUGUCCCAGAGAGGCUUCCUCAUGUAGCUCUGCAAUUCCUGUUCUUUACAGAUAGGAAAGUUCCAGAAACUUUAAGAACUAAUUCUGAAGGGCCUGUGAGAAAAAGGUGCUGAAUACUUUUUUUAAAGUCACAGUUUUCGUUGUUUUAGUCAAAGUAGGAUUAGGUGAUUAUUUUAAAUUAGCGACUUCAAGUAUAACAAUUGAAAGUGGAAUAAGUGUUUAUUUUCUAUUAGUAAAAUGAAUUUUGAC